UGUGUGAAUGGAAAACAUGAACACAUCUGGCUGGACUCGUUGAAACGAGGGGUGUUGGGGCAGAGAAGCUGGGGAGGGCCUGCCUUUACCACAGAAGAUGUUAAGGAGAAGGCUUUUGUUGCUCUCAAGGAAAAUUAGAAUUUCAGAUGGUGACUGGAGUGAUUCAACCAUCUCAACUUUUUUAUUUUCUCUUCAAAAGACAUUGUUCGGGAACCCCAAAUAUUUGGCUGGAAUCUUCCGGUGAUGACCAGCUUUCUUCCAGGAGGCUACAAGAGAGGCCAGAUUUUUGGUAACCUGUUGACCAUGCUGAAGUUUAUGUGAGCCCUGGGCUCCCAGAGAGCUAUGAUGAGAAACAAAUUGCAGAGGACCUUCCUGCCUUCAUAGAUUCAGCAUUCCCCACCCCCUCUUGCCCCCACCCCUAUAGGACUUGUCAUCUACUCUCCUCCCCACUCUCUUGCCUCUGUAAAGCCCCAGGCCCUCCUUCCUUUCCUCUGAGAUGUUCCUCUGUGUUCAUGAAUGUCCUCCCUAUUGCAACAGCCUGAAUAAAGUCGUCUCCUCCGGUGCAUUUUUUU